AGUAAGGAAUCUUCCGCAAUGGACGAAAGUCUGACGGAGCAACACCGCGUGGUUGUUGAAGCCUUUAGGGGUGUAAAGACCUUUUCUGAGAGAAGAAUUUUGACGGUAUCUUAGGAAUAAGCACCGGCUAACUCCGUGCCAGCAGCCGCGGUAAUACGGAGGGUGCAAGCGUUAUCCGGAAUCAUUGGGCGUAAAGAGUUCGUAGGCGGUUUGUUAAGUUAGGUGUUAAAUUUUGCAGCUCAACUGUAAAACUAUACCUAAAACUGGCAAACUAGAGUGCUACAGGGGUAUGCGGAAUUCUGUGUGUAGGGGUAAAAUCCGUAGAUACACAGAGGAACACCAAAAGCGAAGGCAGCAUACUGGGUAGUUACUGACGCUCAGGAACGAAAGCGUGGGGAGCGAACGGGAUUAGAUACCCCGGUAGUCCACGCCGUAAACGAUGGAUACUAGAUGUUGGAGGACUCGACCCCUUCAGUGUCAAAGCUAACGCAUUAAGUAUCCCGCCUGGGGAGUACGGUCGCAAGAUUAAAACUCAAAGGAAUAGACGGGGACCCACACAAGCGGUGGAGCAUGUGGUUUAAUUCGACGAUAAGCGAGGAACCUUACCUAGACUUGACAUCCCGGGGAUUUUCCAGAAAUGGAAAAGUGCCGCAAGGAACCCGGUGACAGGUGCUGCAUGGUUGUCGUCAGCUCGUGCCUUGAGGUGUUCGGUUAAGUCCGUGAACGAGCGCAACCCAUGUCUUGUGUUGUAUUUUCACAAGAGACUGCCGGCUUUAAGUCGGAGGAAGGUAUGGACGACGUCAAAUCAGCAUGGCCCUUAUGUCUAGGGCUACACACGUGCUACAAUGGCUGGUACAAUGGGCAGCAAACCCGUAAGGGGGAGCCAAUCCCUAAAACCAGUCUCAGUUCGAAUUGAGGGCUGCAACUCGCCCUCAUGAAGUUGGAAUCGCUAGUAACCGCGGAUCAGCAAUGGCGCGGUGAAUAUGUUCCUGGGUCUUGUACUCACCGCCCGUCACAUCACGAAAGAUGGGGGCAUCCGAAGUAUCGUUAGCUUACGGGCGCGGUCCUAAGGUGAAAUCAUUGAUUGGGAUG
rnacentral:rRNA from 1 species